rnacentral:rRNA from 1 species
AGUGAACGCUGGCGGUAGGCCUAACACAUGCAAGUCGAACGGCAGCACAGGAGAGCUUGCUCUCUGGGUGGCGAGUGGCGGACGGGUGAGGAAUACAUCGGAAUCUACUCUGUCGUGGGGGAUAACGUAGGGAAACUUACGCUAAUACCGCAUACGACCUACGGGUGAAAGCAGGGGAUCUUCGGACCUUGCGCGAUUGAAUGAGCCGAUGUCGGAUUAGCUAGUUGGCGGGGUAAAGGCCCACCAAGGCGACGAUCCGUGGCUGGUCUGAGAGGAUGAUCAGCCUCACUGGAACUGAGACACGGUCCAGACUCCUACGGGAGGCAGCAGUGGGGAAUAUUGGACAAUGGGCGCAAGCCUGAUCCAGCCAUACCGCGUGGGUGAAGAAGGCCUUCGGGUUGUAAAGCCCUUUUGUUGGGAAAGAAAUCCAGCUGGCUAAUACCCGGUUGGGAUGACGGUACCCAAAGAAUAAGCACCGGCUAACUUCGUGCCAGCCGCCGCGGUAA